GCGGUUAAAAAGCUCGUAGUCGAAUCUGUGUCCCGCGCCGCCGGUUCAUCGUCCGCGGUGUUAACUGGCGUGUCGCGGGACGUCCUGCCGGUGGGCUUAGCUCUUGGCGGCCCAACUCAAUCCCGCCGCGGUGCUCUUCAUUGAGUGUCGAGGUGGGCCGGCACGUUUACUUUGAACAAAUUAGAGUGCUUAAAGCAGGCUAAAACUUCGCCUGAAUACUGUGUGCAUGGAAUAAUGGAAUAGGACCUCGGUUCUAUUUUGUUGGUUUUCGGAACCCCGAGGUAAUGAUUAAUAGGAACGGAUGGGGGCAUUCGUAUUGCGACGUUAGAGGUGAAAUUGUUGGACGUC
rnacentral:rRNA from 1 species